CAUCCAAGUUGUCUUCCUUCCGCCGCUGCUUUUAAAUUAAACUUCCUUUCACUCUCGAAAUUUGCGCUUUCCAAUUCCAUUCCCCAUAGUUUUCUCUCUUCUUCAGGAUCAUUUCCCCUCAUUUUCCUCUCCUCUAACAAUAUCUCCCCUUCUCCUUGGAUUCCUCCGCCACACCAUUCUUCCUGGUGAGUCUCUUUUCCCCUUUCUCUCAUCUUUCCUUUACGCUUUAUAGCGAAUUCUCUGGAUUUUUUUAUGUGGGCCGUGCUUGGAUUUCAAUUUUAUAUUUGGGUUUCUUUAAAAAAAAAAAAGUUGUGUAAUCUUUCUUCCGAGUCUUUCUGAAAUUUGAGAUAAACGGGCGAAGAAUUUGUUGGAUCAUUUAAAACAGAGAGAAAAGAGAGAGAGAGAGAGAGGAGUGUAGAUGGGUCGGUAUGAAUGAAUACCUUGAUUAUUUUAUUGAUUACAAUUGAAUUUUAGAUGUCUCGUGUUUGAAAUACGAUUUUUUUUUUUUUAAAUUUUCUGAGGUCAACAAAAGGCUAAGUCAAAAUGUUUUACCCAAGAUUUAUGUUCGGUAGUUUGGUUUUGAAUUUUAUGUCGACUAAUCUGAGGGUGUUUUGAUGGUUGUUUUGAAUUUUGGGUUCGUUAAAUGCAAGGGGUAAGAUGGGUUUUCACGAUGUGUUGUAGUGAAACAGAGGAGGCAGCUGUUGGUUUUGCAUAUUCCGUUAUUUUUUUUCCAGUAAAUGGGCUGUGUUUCGUCUAAAGGAAGAAGGCAGUUCCCUGGCUACGAGGAUCCUGUUUUCCUUGCUUCACAAACGACUUUUAGUGUCAGUGAGGUUGAAGCUCUAUUCGAGCUUUUCAAAAGCAUCAGCAGUUCAGUGAUAGACGAUGGGCUAAUAAACAAGGAAGAAUUUUUAUUGGCUCUUUUCAAGAACAGGAAGAAAGAAAACCUCUUUGCAAGCCGGAUCUUUGAUCUAUUUGAUGUGAAGCACAGAGGAGUUAUUGAUUUUGGUGACUUUGUUAGAGCGCUCCAUAUAUUCCAUCCAAAUACUUCUAUGGAAGACAAGAUAAAUUUUUCAUUUAGGCUUUAUGACCUAGAUAAUACGGGCUUUAUCGAACGAGAAGAGGUUAAGCAAAUGUUAUUAGCACUUCUUGGUGAAUCUGAAAUGAAGUUGGCUGAUGAGACCGUUGAGGCGAUUCUUGAUAAGAAUCAUGAAACACUUCUUUGUGCCUUGUAGACAUUUUUGGAAGCGGAUACGAACCAAGAUGGGAAGAUCGACAUGUCAGAAUGGCAAUAUUUUGUUUCCAAGAACCCCUCGUUAUUAAGGAUCAUGACACUCCCUUAUUUAAGGGAUAUAACGACAGCAUUCCCAAGUUUUGUGUUUUAUUCUGAGGUGGAUGAGGCUGCUGCUUGAAGAAAGUACAGAGAAUUGGAAGUGUGAUUAGCUAGAUUAACUGUUAAUGACAUAUUUUUAUUUUUCUUAUUCUUGGAAACCAAACAGUUUGAAGAUGAAAUAAUGAGAGGAAAAAAAGAAAGAAAAAAAAAAAAAAGAAAAAAAAACUAGAUGGAUUUUAGAAUUAUUAUUUUUUCUUAGAAAAAGUUGGGAGAAGUCCUUGUGUGAGCAAUAAUAGUGCUCGGUUUUGUGUAAAGCAUCUUCGUCUAACUUUUGCAAUUAACAUUUCACAUUAGAAAAUACAUUUCUUUUUUCUUCUCUUUAA